UUGCCUACGGGAGGCAGCAGUGGGGAAUAUUGCACAAUGGGGGAAACCCUGAUGCAGCGACGCCGCGUGAGUGAAGAAGUAAUUCGUUGCGUAAAGCUCUAUCAGCAGGGAAGAAAUACUGACCUUACGGUCAUCAGACGGUACCUGAGUAAGAAGCCCCGGCUAACUACGUGCCAGCAGCCGCGGUAAUACGUAGGGGGCAAGCGUUAUCCGGAUUUACUGGGGGUAAAGGGAGCGUAGACGGUACGCCAAGUCUGAAGUGAAAUGCCGCAGCUUAACUGCGGAACUGCUUUGGAAACUGGCGG
rnacentral:rRNA from 1 species